AGCGAACGCUGGCGGCAGGCCUAACACAUGCAAGUCGAACGAACCUUUCGGGGUUAGUGGCGGACGGGUGAGUAACACGUGGGAACGUGCCUUUAGGUUCGGAAUAACUCAGGGAAACUUGUGCUAAUACCGAAUGUGCCCUUCGGGGGAAAGAUUAAUCGCCUUUAGAGCGGCCCGCGUCUGAUUAGCUAGUUGGUUGAGGUAAUGGCUCACCAAGGCGACGAUCAGUAGCUGGUCUGAGAGGAUGAUCAGCCACAUUGAGACUGAGACACGGCCCAAACUCCUACGGGAGGCAGCAGUGGGGAAUCUUGCGCAGUGGGCGAAAGCCUGACGCAGCCAUGCCGCGUGAAUGAUGAAGGUCUUAGGAUUGUAAAAUUCUUUCACCGGGGACGAUAAUGACGGUACCCGGAGAAGAAGCCCCGGCUAACUUCGUG
rnacentral:rRNA from 1 species